CGGCAGAGGCGGGACAUCGCUGCGGCCGGUGAUAGGCUGGAGGAUCUGUGACGUUCCAUUCCCAGGACCGCAGGGCAGGACCAUGGGGGCGGUUCCUUAGCAACAGGGGAACGGAGGACGAAGAGAAACACGGUAGUAGACAAUUUCUUUGGCGAAGACGGAUUGUGAAUGUACAGUGAACAUGACUAUUGUUGGUUUCAUUCCUUAACAACAGAGAUAACGGUGUCUGGGAAUCAUUAAGUGUGGCCCACUAAACCCCAUUGCUAUUGACAGAUCACUUUCUCUUUCUACAUGUCUAAAUUCCAGAGGAUUCCUUAACUAUUGUGGUGUGGACAAUGUAGGUGGGCGUGACCAAGUGGAGAACCCGUGAAACGGGACCAUCGUUCCACGAGCUCAACUGAGCUCCUGCUUCUUUCUCCCCGACCCGAACCCCUGUUCCUGAUGUAACAUGAAACCGGGGCGCACAAAACAACUUGUCCCGGCAACCCCUCCUCCACCCCGCUCCCCUGCCUGUCACCCGUCCGAUGUCACCGAUGUGUGAAUAAAGAAGUUUCCUGCAUGG